UUGGACGCUAGCGGCGGAUGGGUGAGUAACACGUGGGCAAUCUGCCCUAAAGACUGGGAUACCACUUGGAAACAGGUGCUAAUACCGGAUAACAACAUGAAUCGCAUGAUUCAAGUUUGAAAGGCGGCGCAAGCUGUCACUUUAGGAUGAGCCCGCGGCGCAUUAGCUAGUUGGUGGGGUAAAGGCCUACCAAGGCAAUGAUGCGUAGCCGAGUUGAGAGACUGAUCGGCCACAUUGGGACUGAGACACGGCCCAAACUCCUACGGGAGGCAGCAGUAGGGAAUCUUCCACAAUGGACGCAAGUCUGAUGGAGCAACGCCGCGUGAGUGAAGAAGGUCUUCGGAUCGUAAAGCUCUGUUGUUGGUGAAGAAGGAUAGAGGCAGUAACUGGUCUUUAUUUGACGGUAAUCAACCAGAAAGUCACGGCUAACUACGUGCCAGCAGCCGCGGUAAUACGUAGGUGGCAAGCGUUGUCCGGAUUUAUUGGGCGUAAAGCGAGCGCAGGCGGAAUGAUAAGUCUGAUGUGAAAGCCCACGGCUCAACCGUGGAACUGCAUCGGAAACUGUCAUUCUUGAGUGCAGAAGAGGAGAGUGGAACUCCAUGUGUAGCGGUGGAAUGCGUAAAUAUAUGGAAGAACACCAGUGGCGAAGGCGGCUCUCUGGUCUGCAACUGACGCUGAGGCUCGAAAGCAUGGGUAGCGAACAGGAUUAAAUACCCUGGUAGUCCAUGCCGUAAACGA
rnacentral:rRNA from 1 species